UUUUGCUUUGCCAGGGGAGCCAGGUCUGUCGGAGUUGGGUGGGGACUUCAAAGUCCAUUUUCAUGACCGUCAAGGAGAUUUCUACUUCUGGCUGAACACAACAAUGACGGAAAAUAGAAAAGUUUUAAACACCGAUGAUCUUGACGGAUUUGACAAGAGGAAACUGCCUUCCCCGGGAUUUCAGGUUGAGGUUG